GACGAACGCUGGCGGCGUGCUUAACACAUGCAAGUCGAACGGAAAGGCCCUGCUUUUGUUGGGUGCUCGAGUGGCGAACGGGUGAGUAACACGUGAGUAACCUGCCCUUGACUUUGGGAUAACUUGAGGAAACUGGGGCUAAUACCGGAUAGGAGCUCCUGCUGCAUGGUGGGGGUUGGAAAGUUUCGGCGGUUGGGGAUGGACUCGCGGCUUAUCAGCUUGUUGGUGGGGUAGUGGCUUACCAAGGCUUUGACGGGUAGCCGGCCUGAGAGGGUGACCGGCCACAUUGGGACUGAGAUACGGCCCAGACUCCUACGGGAGGCAGCAGUGGGGAAUAUUGCACAAUGGGCGGAAGCAUGAUGCAGCAACGCCGCGUGCGGGAUGACGGCCUUCGGGUUGUAAACCGCUUUCGCCUGUGACGAAGCGUGAGUGACGGUAAUGGGUAAAGAAGCACCGGCUAACUACGUG
rnacentral:rRNA from 1 species